rnacentral:rRNA from 1 species
AGAGUUUGAUCCUGGCUCAGGAUGAACGCUGGCGGCGUGCUUAACACAUGCAAGUCGAACGAUGACCCGGUGCUUGCACCGGUGAUUAGUGGCGAACGGGUGAGUAACACGUGAGUAACCUGCCCUUAACUCUGGGAUAAGCCUGGGAAACUGGGUCUAAUACCGGAUAUGACUCCUCAUCGCAUGGUGGGGGGUGGAAAGCUUUUUUGUGGUUUUGGAUGGACUCGCGGCCUAUCAGCUUGUUGGUGAGGUAAUGGCUCACCAAGGCGACGACGGGUAGCCGGCCUGAGAGGGUGACCGGCCACACUGGGACUGAGACACGGCCCAGACUCCUACGGGAGGCAGCAGUGGGGAAUAUUGCACAAUGGGCGAAAGCCUGAUGCAGCGACGCCGCGUGAGGGAUGACGGCCUUCGGGUUGUAAACCUCUUUCAGUAGGGAAGAAGCGUAAGUGACGGUACCUGCAGAAGAAGCGCCGGCUAACUACGUGCCAGCAGCCGCGGUAAUAC